rnacentral:rRNA from 1 species
CAGUAGCCGCGGUAAUACGAGGGGAGCUAGCGUUGUUCGGAAUUACUGGGCGUAAAGCGCGCGUAGGCGGCUUUUUAAGUCAGAGGUGAAAGCCCGGGGCUCAACCACGGAAUUGCCUUUGAAACUGGAAAGCUAGAAUCUUGGAGAGGUCAGUGGAAUUCCGAGUGUAGAGGUGAAAUUCGUAGAUAUUCGGAAGAACACCAGUGGCGAAGGCGACUGACUGGACAAGUAUUGACGCUGAGGUGCGAAAGCGUGGGGAGCAAACAGGAUUAGAUACCCCUGUAGUCCCUGUCUCUUAUAC